rnacentral:rRNA from 1 species
ACGCUCGACACCUACGGAGGCAGCAGUGGGGAAUAUUGCACAAUGGGGGAAACCCUGAUGCAGCGACGCCGCGUGAGCGAAGAAGUAUUUCGGUAUGUAAAGCUCUAUCAGCAGGGAAGAAACUGACGGUACCUGACUAAGAAGCACCGGCUAAAUACGUGCCAANAGCCGCGGUAAUCUGAGCGGGCGUGGCGAAGGC